GCACCUUGUCUCAUGGCUUAAAGGGCACCUGCUCAACUGAUCAUGUGAUACCUGUACUGCCAGAGAGUGAUUGAGAAACAUUGUGGUCUCUUGAUAUAAAUGAUUAUCAUGACUGUAAACAUUGGAUAACUCUAAUUCUGUAUCGUAAUGAUGUCAAGCUGUUAUUUUGAGUGUUAUUGUACAAUUAUGUUUGCAAUUUAUUAAUACUAUAAUCAUUAUUUAACGUGUACAUGAAUAGUACAUGUUCAAUGAAUUUGUAUAUUAAGUGUUCCAAAUCCAAAUGCUGCCCUCAAUACUAGCAUUUGUUAUUCUGAUUGGUAAAUGAACAAUUCCUGAGUGUGUGAGUUUGGCCUGUACAUGGAAGAUUUAUUUCACCUGGUAGAUCUUUUUGUUUUUCUUGCCAUGUACCUGUACCAAUGCAUGUACCUGUACUAAUACCAGUCAAAAACUUACCUACUUCAUUGAGCACAUCUAGAGACACCACAUCCUCAAUCUAAGCAUAUUUUGUCCUUUAGAGAGAAACAAAUCCAUGCAUGUUCCAUUAAAAGUACCGGCACUGGUAUUUGUGACAUCACUGUGAACCAUAACUGUUAUGUAAUUUGCAUAAACUGUAAAAUAAUCAGUCCAUGGCGAAAGAACAAGUGCAUUUAGUUAUAGAAUAUUAGAAUUACAUCUAACAUUGUGUGUCAAAGAACAGCUAUUUUUGUAAAGUUGUAUGGGAUUUACUUACAUGUACUCUUACUUUAUUCAUGUCUCUCCAGUUUUAUUUGAUCUGAUCAUACCCUCAUUACUGUGAACCUCUAGGCAUUUUUUUGUUUUUGUUUAGAUGGUUUCAUCUUUUUUAUUAUUUUGAAAUCAUGAAAUUGUUUUAAUAAAUUAUCUCAUACAUC
rnacentral:misc_RNA from 1 species